AAUAAUGAACCAUUAAUCCAAAUUUCAAAUCCUUUAAGUUCCAAAAUAAUAUAUACUUGAACAACUAAGAUUAAAAAAAACAAAGAAACCUUCCACGAUUUUCAUGGGUCAAAGCAAGAUAAAUACAAAUAAAAGAAAAGUCAGAUGCCGUCAGUACCCAAACAAGGGUAGAGCUCAUGAAAAAUAAACAAAAAAGAAAAAGAAAAAUAAUUUAUCAGAUUCAGAGAUGUUGACAAAGCCACCAUCCAAUUUGUCGCCAUAUUUGAUUCUUCAUUGUACUCGUGGAGGAAAGGACUGGAGAGGAGAAAAUUUGUGAUAAGACAGUGAUGAGGGAGGAAAGGUCAUGGUGGUGCCAAGAUUUUUUGCUGGUGCGGGAGAGAACUGAUGUAGUGGUUGUUGGUGUCGAUGUGGGAAGACAAAUGUAAAGUCGUGAUGGGUAGUGAAUGUGGGAAGAUUUUGAUGUGGGAGAUUGACAAAGAUAAAGGGAAGGUUGUUGAGGAAGUCUUAUGGUGGAGAAGAGUUGAAAUGAGAACAUCUCCAAUAGAGGAUCUUGGAAAGGGAUCUUAAGCACAAGAUCUAAUUACUAGAGGCACCCUCAAAAUUUCCAUGUUGGAGGUUGGGUUCCUGUGGAAGAACCCUGAAGAUCUGUUAGUUUUUUUUAUUUUAAAUAAAUCAUUUUGUAUUGCCUCUCUCCCUAACUAAUUCAUGCGAAAACCAACAAAUUCAGAAGAGGAAGAAUAGGUCAAUG
rnacentral:lncRNA from 1 species